GGUCACUGUAGAAAUUCGGUUGCUGGAGCCCGUCUGUUGUAAAAGUUCGUCUGGAAUCAAAUUCUGUUGUAUAAGUUCAGACAAAGUCCGAUUCUUGUAGGAGUCCGGAAGGAGGCCACUUACUGUAGAAGCUCAGAUGGAGACUGGUUGUCGUAGAAGCCCAGAUGGAGAUCGCUUAUUGUAGAAGCUCGGACGAAGUCCA
rnacentral:lncRNA from 1 species